rnacentral:rRNA from 1 species
AGGGAAUAUUGGACAAUGGGCGCAAGCCUGAUCUAGCCAUGCCGCGUGAGCGAUGAAGGCCUUAGGGUUGUAAAGCUCUUUCGUGGGGGAAGAUAAUGACUGUACCCCAAGAAGAAGCCCCGGCUAACUCCGUGCCAGCAGCCGCGGUAAUACGGAGGGGGCUAGCGUUGUUCGGAAUUACUGGGCGUAAAGCGCACGUAGGCGGACCGGAAAGUCAGAGGUGAAAUCCCAGGGCUCAACCUUGGAACUGCCUUUGAAACUCGCGGUCUUGAGUUCGAGAGAGGUGAGUGGAAUUCCGAGUGUAGAGGUGAAAUUCGUAGAUAUUCGGAGGAACACCAGUGGCGAAGGCGGCUCACUGGCUCGAUACUGACGCUGAGGUGCGAAAGCGUGGGGAGCAAAC